UAGCUCAGUCGGUAGAGCGCAAUGCUCUUAACCUUGUGGUCCUGGGUUCAAGUCCCAG
rfam:Ipomoea nil DNA, scaffold: scaffold1198, cultivar: Tokyo-kokei standard.